GACGAACGCUGGCGGCGUGCCUAAUACAUGCAAGUAGAACGCUGAAGAGAGGAGCUUGCUCUUCUUGGAUGAGUUGCGAACGGGUGAGUAACGCGUAGGUAACCUGCCUUGUAGCGGGGGAUAACUAGUGGAAACGAUAGCUAAUACCGCAUAACAAUGGAUGACACAUGUCAUUUAUUUGAAAGGGGCAAUUGCUCCACUACAAGAUGGACCUGCGUUGUAUUAGCUAGUAGGUGAGGUAAUGGCUCAACUAGGCGACGAUACAUAGACGACCUGAGAGGGUGAUCGGCCAGCCUGGGAGUGAGACACGGCCCAGACUCAUACGGGAGGCAGCCGUAGGGAAUCUUCGGCAAUGGGGGCAACACUGACCGAGCAACGCCGCGUGAGUGAAGAAGGUCUUCGGAUCGUAAAGCUCUGUUGUAAGUCAAGAACGGGUGUGAGAGUGGAAAGUUCACACUGUGACGGUAGCUUACAAGAAAGGGACGGCUAACUACGUG
rnacentral:rRNA from 1 species